UUUUUGGUGCUGAAACUUAAUUUUCUGUUUUUUUUUUUUGUGCUGAAAAUUCAAUUUUCUGCCCUAAAAAGUCCAAAUUCUAAAUCUAUAUCCAUAUCACAUGGUCCAUAUCGAACAUGAACAGCAAACAAUCGAUUUUUCCUUUUUUUUCAUGAUACGUUGUUCGGAAAAAAAAAAUUUUGACCCCACAGUUUAAAUGGUCUGGGUCCGCCCCUG
rnacentral:lncRNA from 1 species